CCAAGCCCAAACCUACCCAUAAACCCAAUAGGCCAACUAAAUACCCACUAAAUACCCACUACACCCUAAACCAAAACCUACCCAAAACUAACCCCAAUCUGACCCAACUAGCCCAAAAAUUUAGGGUUUUAGAAUUUGAAACCCUAAAUCACCUAUUCCACCGCCCCAGUCACAUCUCCUGCAAGUGGCCUCUGCUCCACCACCGUUUGCCUGCAGCAACAACAGAAGAAUAGACAGAUAUUAAAAGAAAAAGAAAUGUAAAAGGCUAUUUAAAAAGCCGAACCCAAAAAACCAUGGGGACAUUCGGUAUUUUUUCGGAAUGAAAAACAAUACUGGAUCUUAAAAAUCCAAAGCAAGAAUAGGAAUCCUAGCAAUAUCAGAAAGCAUAAACAGUCCAAACCGAGGAACAAAGGUUAAUAACCUAAGGUGAUCGUUGUUAUUAUUUUCGCUUUUUUAUUUUAUUUUUUUCGAAUAUAUUGACAGACACUAAUGCAUAUAUACAUAUUAUAGAUAUAUAUAUAUAACGUAGAUAAUAUAAAAAAAACUAAAAAAAAGAGACGAACUUUACCUUUUCCGGCAACCGUGCGCGGUGGCCGGCGCCGACGACGACUGUGGCGCGUGGAGGCUCUCUUGGCCGGACACUGGGUUUGUCCCAGAGAAGAAGGGAGAGCUCUCCCCUUUUU
rnacentral:lncRNA from 1 species